GAGUUUGAUCUUGGCUCAGGACGAACGCUGGCGGCGUGCUUAACACAUGCAAGUCGAACGAUGAUCCGGUGCUUGCACCGGGGAUUAGUGGCGAACGGGUGAGUAACACGUGAGUAACCUGCCCUUGACUCUGGGAUAAGCCUGGGAAACCGGGUCUAAUACCGGAUAUGACCUGUCACCGCAUGGUGGUGGGUGGAAAGAUUUUUUGGUCUUGGAUGGACUCGCGGCCUAUCAGCUUGUUGGUGGGGUAAUGGCCUACCAAGGCGACGACGGGUAGCCGGCCUGAGAGGGUGACCGGCCACACUGGGACUGAGACACGGCCCAGACUCCUACGGGAGGCAGCAGUGGGGAAUAUUGCACAAUGGGCGCAAGCCUGAUGCAGCGACGCCGCGUGAGGGAUGAAUGCCUUCGGGUUGUAAACCUCUUUCAGCAGGGAAGAAGCGAAAGUGACGGUACCUGCAGAAGAAGCGCCGGCUAACUACGUGCCAGCCGCCG
rnacentral:rRNA from 1 species